rnacentral:rRNA from 1 species
UCUACAUUCAUACCAUCCUGAACACGCCCAAUCUCAUCUGAUCUUGGAAGCUAAGCAAGGUCAGGCCUGGUUAGUACUUGGAUGGGAGAAAGGGCUAAAGAAUUUCUAAUUUCCUCUGGAGAAGGAGUUGAUGUGAC